UAAUACGGAGGGUGCAAGCGUUAAUCGGAAUUACUGAGCGUAAAGCGCACGCAGGCGGUUUGUUAAGUCAGAUGUGAAAUCCCCGGGCUCAACCUGGGAACUGCAUUUGAAACUGGCAAGCUAGAGUCUCGUAGAGGGGGGUAGAAUUCCAGGUGUAGCGGUGAAAUGCGUAGAGAUCUGGAGGAAUACCGGUGGCGAAGGCGGCCCCCUGGACGAAGACUGACGCUCAGGUGCGAAAGCGUGGGGAGCAAACAGGAUUAGAUACCCUGGUAGUCCACGCUGUAAACGAUGUCGAUUUGGAGGUUGUGCCCUUGAGGCGUGGCUUCCGGAGCUAACGCGUUAAAUCGACCGCCUGGGGAGUACGGCCGCAAGGUU
rnacentral:rRNA from 1 species